AAUUCACCAUUCCCUGUCUUUGUGCCAAUGGAUGGCGGGAGAAGAACAGGUGCCACUGGCACUGUCCUAAGUGUCAGGAGGUUUUUCCCCGUACCAAUGUCUUUAAGAGACACCUUUCCCAUCACGGUUUGUACAAAUUGAUGGCCUGACAAGAAGCACAAAUUCUUCAGUAAGCCUCCCCACUACUGAGAUUAGGAAAGCAUUCCAUCAUUCCAGCGCAUUGAGGGAGUAUGAGUACUCCUAUUCCUGUGUCAGAUGUGGCCACAGCCCUCCUGUUCUCAUUGCUGAUGCCAAUUGGGAGGUUGCGUUUGAUUUGCCAGUUCACCUCUUUAAGCGUCCAAACAAGGACAACAUUACCUCUGAGGACACCGAAGUAAAUGUGCCCGAUAGAUGGCAGACCCUUGAGAAACGCAUGGUGGCCUCAGGUUUUUGUUGCUCCGGAGGUUGCCAAUCCAUACGGCAGUUCCCUUUCAUACUCCACCUUCACUCCAUGGCUUGGCGAGAAUGUCAGAGUGAGCGAUGUUGUCCCAAAGACAGAAAUGCUGAAAGGUUUGUCUCAAAAGAACCGGACAUCCACUUCAGGGGCAGCCACUGACAUAGAUGAGGACACCACUGAAAGUGUUGGAAUC